rnacentral:rRNA from 1 species
UGAUAAACCUUACCACCCCUUGCUAAUCCAGUCUAUAUACCGCCAUCUUCAGCAAACCCUAAAAAAGGCCUUAAAGUAAGCAUAAGUAUACACAUAAAAACGUUAGGUCAAGGUGUAACCUAUGGGGUGGAAAGUAAUGGGCUACAUUUUCUACUUUAGAAUACCACGAAUAUUCCUAUGAAAACAAGAAUUAAAGGAGGAUUUAGCAGUAAACUAAGAGUAGAGAGCUUAGUUGAAAAAGGCCAUGAAGCACGCACACACCGCCCGUCACCCUCCUCAAAUGCAACUUAACAACAUGCAUCCAUAAACAAAACUAACAUGAACGCAUAAGACGAGACAA